rnacentral:rRNA from 1 species
GAUGAACGCUGGCGGCGUGCCUAAUACAUGCAAGUCGAGCGAACAGACGAGGAUCUUGCUUCUCUGACGUUAGCGACGGACGGGUGAGUAACACGUGGAUAACCUACCUAUAAGACUGGGAUAACUUCGGGAAACCGGAUCUAAUACCGGAUAAUAUAUUGAACGGCAUGGUUCAAUAGUGAAAGACGGUUUUGCUGUCACUUAUAGAUGGAUCCGCGCCGCAUUAGCUAGUUGGUAAGGUAACGGCUUACCAAGGCAACGAUGCGUAGCCGACCUGAGAGGGUGAUCGGCCACACUGGAACUGAGACACGGUCCAGACUCCUACGGGAGGCAGCAGUAGGGAAUCUUCCGCAAUGGGCGAAAGCCUGACGGAGCAACGCCGCGUGAGUGAUGAAGGUCUUCGGAUCGUAAAACUCUGUUAGUAGGGAAGAACAAAUGUGUAAGUAACUAUGCACGUCUUGACGGUACCUAAACAGAAAGCCACGGCUAACUACGUG